AGGAUGAACGCUGGCGGCGUGCCUAAUACAUGCAAGUCGAGCGAACAGACGAGGASCUUGCUCCUCUGACGUUAGCGGCGGACGGGUGAGUAACACGUGGAUAACCUACCUAUAAGACUGGGAUAACUUCGGGAAACCGGAGCUAAUACCGGAUAAUAUAUUGAACCGCAUGGUUCAAUAGUGAAAGACGGUUUUGCUGUCACUUAUAGAUGGAUCCGCGCCGCAUUAGCUAGUUGGUAAGGUAACGGCUUACCAAGGCAACGAUGCGUAGCCGACCUGAGAGGGUGAUCGGCCACACUGGAACUGAGACACGGUCCAGACUCCUACGGGAGGCAGCAGUAGGGAAUCUUCCGCAAUGGGCGAAAGCCUGACGGAGCAACGCCGCGUGAGUGAUGAAGGUCUUCGGAUCGUAAAACUCUGUUAUUAGGGAAGAACAAAUGUGUAAGUAACUAUGCACGUCUUGACGGUACCUAAUCAGAAAGCCACGGCUAACUACGUGCCAGCAGCCGCGGUAAUACGUAGGUGGCAAGCGUUAUCCGGAAUUAUUGGGCGUAAAGCGCGCGUAGGCGGUUUUUUAAGUCUGAUGUGAAAGCCCACGGCUCAACCGUGGAGGGUCAUUGGAAACUGGAAAACUUGAGUGCAGAAGAGGAAAGUGGAAUUCCAUGUGUAGCGGUGAAAUGCGCAGAGAUAUGGAGGAACACCAGUGGCGAAGGCGACUUUCUGGUCUGUUCAGGACGAACGCUGGCGGCGUGCCUAAUACAUGCAAGUCGAGCGGGGUUAUUUAGAAGCUUGCUUCUAAACAACCUAGCGGCGGACGGGUGAGUAACACGUAGGCAACCUGCCCACAAGACAGGGAUAACUACCGGAAACGGUAGCUAAUACCCGAUACAUCCUUUUCCUGCAUGGGACAAGGAGGAAAGGCGGAGCAAUCUGUCACUUGUGGAUGGGCCUGCGGCGCAUUAGCUAGUUGGUGGGGUAAUGGCCUACCAAGGCGACGAUGCGUAGCCGACCUGAGAGGGUGAUCGGCCACACUGGGACUGAGACACGGCCCAGACUCCUACGGGAGGCAGCAGUAGGGAAUCUUCCGCAAUGGGCGAAAGCCUGACGGAGCAACGCCGCGUGAGUGAUGAAGGUUUUCGGAUCGUAAAGCUCUGUUGCCAGGGAAGAACGUCUUGUAGAGUAACUGCUACAAGAGUGACGGUACCUGAGAAGAAAGCCCCGGCUAACUACGUGCCAGCAGCCGCGGUAAUACGUAGGGGGCAAGCGUUGUCCGGAAUUAUUGGGCGUAAAGCGCGCGCAGGCGGCUCUUUAAGUCUGGUGUUUAAUCCCGAGGCUCAACUUCGGGUCGCACUGGAAACUGGGGAGCUUGAGUGCAGAAGAGGAGAGUGGAAUUCCACGUGUAGCGGUGAAAUGCGUAGAGAUGUGGAGGAACACCAGUGGCGAAGGCGACUCUCUGGGCUGUAACUGAC
rnacentral:rRNA from 1 species